UCUGAAAAGUCCCGCAGAAUUCUAAA
rnacentral:piRNA from 1 species